GCGGCGGCGCUGCUGAGGGCGCUGGUGCCCGCGCGCCGCGUGCUGGCCCUGCCCGACGCCGGCUCCGGAGGCUCGGCUUCGCGGCGGGGUUCCCCGGCCUCGGCUGCGCGCGACGCUGGUGUGAAUUAAGGCUCGUUUGCAGAACAAGGAGAUUUUUCCCACGUGGGCCGCCUACAGCUGGCGCUUGGCUUCCUGUUGCCGCUUUCGGGUGGGUCCCGCUCCAGCCCUCAAGGCGGUGCGCUGGCUCGGCCUGCCUUGACCUUAGGAGCCCCUUGUUUGGGGCCAGCGGCUUACCGCCUGCCGACUACAGAGCCUCGGGAUUCUCACUGGAGAGGGCACCCAAGUCCCCAGUCCCCUCCCUGGAUGGCACCUGCUGGGGCUGCACGGACCUCAUCUGGCAAGGCUGACGGGUCCCCGAGGACUCCCCGCAGCACGUGUCGGAGGACCGGGGGCCAAGGUCGGAGCGGGCGAGUAGCAGGUAACUGAGCCCAGAGGGCCUGGCAGUUUCUGGAAGAGACAUGCAUCUCUGGACAGCUGGGGUCUCUGGGAAGAACCACCCGGAGGCCAGGCUCAGGAGGCCCCUGCUGCACCGGAGCCCUGGGAGAAGGGCCACACCCAUGCCAUAUGGAAGUUCCCAGGCUCAGGG